UCUGAGUUCGCAUUAGGCAAGAAGUUGAAAAGUUUUUUGACCCAUGACACUACAUGGACCUUAAGUAAGACAUGUGUAAAAUUGGAAUGAAAUCGGUUGCGUAGUUCUCGAGUUAUAGGGAUUCACACAGACAUACAGACACACAUUCUCAUCUUUAUAUAGAUAGAUAUGUUAUCAUGU